AUUGAACGCUGGCGGCAUGCUUUACACAUGCAAGUCGAACGGUAACAGGCCGCAAGGUGCUGACGAGUGGCGAACGGGUGAGUAAUGCAUCGGAACGUGCCCAGUCGUGGGGGAUAACUGCUCGAAAGAGCAGCUAAUACCGCAUACGAUCUAUGGAUGAAAGCGGGGGACCGUAAGGCCUCGCGCGAUUGGAGCGGCCGAUGUCAGAUUAGGUAGUUGGUGGGGUAAAGGCUCACCAAGCCAACGAUCUGUAGCUGGUCUGAGAGGACGACCCGCCACACUGGGACUGAGACACGGCCCAGACUCCUACGGGAGGCAGCAGUGGGGAAUUUUGGACGAUGGGGGCAACCCUGAUCCAGCAAUGCCGCGUGCAGGAAGAAGGCCUUCGGGUUGUAAACUGCUUUUGUACGGAACGAAACGGUCUAGGUUAAUACCCUGGGCUAAUGACGGUACCGUAAGAAUAAGCACCGGCUAACUACGUGCCAGCCGCCGCCGUAAUAC
rnacentral:rRNA from 1 species